AAUCACCUCCACAGCCGCCAUUUCACCUCUACGUCUUCAAUCUUCCCCAGUCUCUGCGUUGGACCUCCCUCAUUGUUUACUCAUUGAUCGAUUAUGUGUUGAUUAGGAAUUCAAUCUUAUGUGAUAUGGGAGUCAAGACCUAUAACCUUGCACCGAAUCAAAACAUAUGGUUUGUCAUUUACAGAUUGAGCCAAUCCCAAGUGGAAAUCUGCCUCCUGGGUUAAUCCAAAUACAUGCCGCAGUAUGUGCGUGGGGAGCAUUCAUAUACAAGUGACGGAACCACUUCUUCAAGAGGUUUUUGCAAGUAUUGGUCCUGUUGAAGGCUGCACACUCAUAAGAAAAGAGAAGUCGUCUUAUGAAUUCAUUCACUACUUUGAUCGUAGAUCCGUUGCACUUGCUAUAUUAUCUCUAAAUGGGAAGCGUUUGUUUGGUCAACCUAUUAAAGUCAACUGGGCAUAUGCCAGUGGGCUGAGAGAGGACACAUGAGGAUUUUAGGGUUCUUAGCUCAUGCUCCAGUAUAUCGACAAAAAUUUUGUUCAACAUAGGUCAGUUAAGUUGUCGUACGCAUCGUGUCACACUUUACACAUAUCGUAGGUGGUUGCAGGAUUCAUGAUGGUUGAAGCUCUGAAAAACGGUUAUGUUGUUGCUAUUCCAUUAGCUAACCAACUGCUUCAAAUAUUUAACCUCAUGCUCCAGUAUUAAUUAUGAUGAUGUCAAAUGUUUGCAUCAAUCUUAUUAUUGUGAUAAUACAACUUUAUUAGUUACAAAAUUCCAUUUUAUGCUACAUUAAUCAAUCAAUAAGUUUUUGGUAUUUUUUUUACAGGUUAUAGCAUCAAUUGCCUAUUUGAUGGAGUUUCAAAGCAAUUAUGGUCUACAUGUUACCAUUGUUGCGAGUGAUUGGAAGAUUUAUUAUUUUGUUGAAUUUCAUUGUGUUUUGAUGAACUAUAUUUUUUUUAAUUGUAAGUGUUAACUUUUUGUUAACAGUGAGUUACAAAAUUGGUUGCCAAAUGU
rnacentral:lncRNA from 1 species